rnacentral:rRNA from 1 species
GACGAACGCUGGCGGCGUGCUUAACACAUGCAAGUCGAACGGAAAGGCCCGGCUUUUGUGGGGUGCUCGAGUGGCGAACGGGUGAGUAACACGUGAGUAACCUGCCCUUGACUUUGGGAUAACUUCAGGAAACUGGGGCUAAUACCGGAGAUGAUCUCCUGCUGCAUGGGGGUGGUUGGAAAGUUUCGGCGGUUGGGGAUGGACUCGCGGCUUAUCAGCUUGUUGGUGGGGUAGUGGCUGACACAGGCUUUGACGGGUAGCCGGCAUGAGAGGGUGACCAGCCACAUUGCGACUGCGAUACGGAGCAGAAUCCUACGGGACGCAGCAGUGGGGAAUAUUGCACAAUGGGCGGAAGCGUGAUGCAGCAACGCCGCGUGCGUGAUGCCGGCCUUCGGGUUGUAAACCGCUUUCGAAUGUGACGAAGAGUGAGUGACGGUAAUGGGUAAAGAAGCACCGGCUAACUACGUG